rnacentral:rRNA from 1 species
GACGAACGCUGGCGGCGUGCUUAACACAUGCAAGUCGAACGGAAAGGCCCUGCUUGCAGGGUACUCGAGUGGCGAACGGGUGAGUAACACGUGGGUGAUCUGCCCUGCACUUCGGGAUAAGCCUGGGAAACUGGGUCUAAUACCGGAUAGGAGCCAUUUUUAGUGUGAUGGUUGGAAAGUUUUUUCGGUGUAGGAUGAGCUCGCGGCCUAUCAGCUUGUUGGUGGGGUAAUGGCCUACCAAGGCGGCGACGGGUAGCCGGCCUGAGAGGGUGGACGGCCACAUUGGGACUGAGAUACGGCCCAGACUCCUACGGGAGGCAGCAGUGGGGAAUAUUGCACAAUGGGCGCAAGCCUGAUGCAGCGACGCCGCGUGGGGGAUGACGGCCUUCGGGUUGUAAGCUCCUUUCGCUAGGGACGAAGCUUUUUGUGACGGUACCUAGAUAAGAAGCACCGGCUAACUACGUG